rnacentral:other from 1 species
CAUCCCCUGCGGUGUUCGCAAAAGCCGAAGCGUAACUUGAACCAACACUUUUGAACCCAGGGAGCCCUCACUUGGCGUGGAAGAGAGCCCGGACGCCGGGUUCCGGAAGCGUUAACGGGGCACCCACUUGUUGAGCGUGGGUUCAAAUACGCGGCGUAGCGGCACCAGCGGGGGAUGU